rnacentral:rRNA from 1 species
GAUGAACGCUGGCGGCGUGCCUAAUACAUGCAAGUCGAGCGAAUGGAUUAAGAGCUUGCUCUUAUGAAGUUAGCGGCGGACGGGUGAGUAACACGUGGGUAACCUGCCCAUAAGACUGGGAUAACUCCGGGAAACCGGGGCUAAUACCGGAUAACAUUUUGAACCGCAUGGUUCGAAUUUGAAUGGCGACUUCGGCGGUCACUUAUGGAUGGACCCGCGUCGCAUUAGCUAGUUGGUGAGGUAACGGCUCACCAAGGCAAUGAUGCGUAGCCGACCUGAGAGGGUGAUCGGCCACACUGGGACUGAGACACGGCCCAGGCUCCUACGGGAGGCAGCAGUAGGGAAUCUUCCGCAAUGGACGAAAGUCUGACGGAGCAACGCCGCGUGAGUGAUGAAGGCUUUCGGGUCGUAAAACUCUGUUGUUAGGGAAGAACAAGUGCUAGUUGAGUAAGCUGGCACCUUGACGGUACCUAACCAGAAAGCCACGGCUAACUACGUGCCAGCCGCCGCUGUAA